GACGAACGCUGGCGGCGUGCCUAAUACAUGCAAGUCGAACGCACAGUUUAUACCGUAGCUUGCUACACCAUAGACUGUGAGUUGCGAACGGGUGAGUAACGCGUAGGUAACCUGCCUGGUAGCGGGGGAUAACUAUUGGAAACGAUAGCUAAUACCGCAUAAUAUUAAUUAUUGCAUGAUAAUUAAUUGAAAGGUGCAAUUGCACCACUACCAGAUGGACCUGCGUUGUAUUAGCUAGUAGGUGAGGUAACGGCUCACCUAGGCGACGAUACAUAGCCGACCUGAGAGGGCGAUCGGCCACACUGGGACUGAGACACGGCCCAGACUCCUACGGGAGGCAGCAGUAGGGAAUCUUCGGCAAUGGACGAAAGUCUGACCGAGCAACGCCGCGUGAGUGAAGAAGGUUUUCGGAUCGUAAAGCUCUGUUGUAAGAGAAGAACGGGUGUGAGAGUGGAAAGUUCACACUGUGACGGUAUCUUACCAGAAAGGGACGGCUAACUACGUG
rnacentral:rRNA from 1 species